GAUGAACGCUGGCGGCGUGCUUAACACAUGCAAGUCGAACGGAAAGGCUCCUGCUUGCAGGGGUACUCGAUUGGCGAACGGGUGAGUAACACGUGGGUGAUCUGCCCUGCACUUCUGGAUAAGCCUUGGAAACUGGGUCUAAUACCGGAUAGGACGAUGGUUUGGAUGUCAUUGUGGAAAGUUUUUCGGUGUGGGAUGAGCUCGUGGCCUAUCAGCUUGUUGGUGGGGUAAUGGCUUACCAAGGCGUCGACGGGUAGCCGGCCUGAGAGGGUGUACGGCCACAUUGGGACUGAGAUACGGCCCAGAAUCCUACGGGAGGCAGAAGUGGGGAAUAUUGCACAAUGGGCGCAAGCCUGAUGCAGAGACGACGCGUGGGGGAUGACGGCCUUCGGGUUGUAAACUCCUUUCGCUAGGGACGAAGCGCAAGUGACGGUACCUGGAGAAGAAGCACCGGCUAACUACGUG
rnacentral:rRNA from 1 species